rnacentral:lncRNA from 1 species
AGUCUAUCGAGGAGGAGGUACCAGUAUUCGUAUUAGAAGUCAUGAUUAAUGCACCAGUUUGAAAAGAAAAACAGUUUCGACAAGCAAAAUAUCACGAAAUCAGAUAUUCACACACGAAGCCAAAUAAUCACACACAAAGUAUACGAUACUCAAGAGAGGUACAGAGUUACCCUCCUUCUUCGCGACCGGAGAAGAUCGGCCUUCAGUCAAUCAGAGAAAACCCUAGGUACAAAACCCUAGGUGCAACCGUUGCAAACCUUACUGGAAAUAUAGUCAGGGAUGUCGGAAAGUCACCCUAAACAUCCACUGAGUGAAGAUCGAGCCAC